GUAAAGGGUAGAAAAUUAGAGUGGUGUUAAAUUGCAGAAUGCCAGAUGUGGAGUGACCUGCAUUAGCACUAUGUGAAUAUUUACAAUUCAGAUUAACACACUUAACACUGAGCAGAAAAGCAUAUGCUGUGGGCACAAACUGAAAGUGUGGACAGAUAUGUUUAGGAUAUACUCACUCAAGCCUCUGGCAAAAUACUUCUGUUUCCUUUGCACAGACAAAACAAGACCAAGAAACUGCAAUGGAAAAAAAGCUAAUUGUACCAUCAGUUCAAAGGAACAGUGUUUUGGAAGUACUGUUCAUCAAAAUAGAAGGGACAGCUGUCCAAAGCAAAGAUAGUUUUGCAUGAUGGUCAUUCACUGAUGUUGGUGUUCACAGGGCUAUCCCUCUAAACCACACACUUUGUGUUUGGCUUCACUUCCAUAAAUCUCAAAAGCACCAUUUCACUAGUACAUUUACAGUAAAGAUUUGAAUCUGGUUGGAAUUCUGUGCAAUUUGGGGGGCUUUUUUUGUUCUUUUUUUUUUUUGUUCUUUUUCCUUUUUCUAGGUAGGUAUAGAAUGGUUCCGAGGGUUACUUGGGCAAAAAUCUCUUUAGUCUUAUAGAACUAAACAUUUAAUGAAUAAAACACGUAACGAAAAAGAAAGAUAAUUUAGUAUAGGAAAAAUAUCACAUACCAUUUUUCUCUUGUGGUAAACAAAGCAUGAAAGGAAAAGAUUAAAAGACUGAAGUGGUUCUAUAAUAACCAGAGAAAGGAUUAUGAGUGUAUGUGGUUAUAAGUUGUCUUCUCUCUUCAACCCUGGUUGCUUCAGUUUUCCAUGGCAAUAGGAGGGUGGAAAUAUUGUUGACAUGGGCACUUAAUAGUUCUGAAAAUCUACAUGCUAGAGAUUCUCAAGGAAAAUGAACAUUAGGUGUUUAAGUUCUUUAUAUUCCUUGAGAAAUAAACUCCAUCUACAGAAAAGCAAAGUCCUUCAUUUUUAGUGUGGUUGUGAUACAGGCCUUGCUGAAAUUGCUGAGAUUAAUUCCACAGUCUGACCCGAUCUGUUCUGAUAUAACGCUUGUUUAACUUUACUUUCAAAUGAGUAGUUCCUCAGUAACAGCUAUUCAAAGCACAAUGAACACAGUCUUCUCAUAGUUCUCCAGAACUUCUGUUUUAUUAUACGG
ensembl:lncRNA